UCGACCCACUUCCAAACCCUAAUAUCGUAUGGAAGUGUCUAUCAGUUCUGACUCACACCCUUCAUCUUCUCCUUUUCAUGUUCAUUAUCUCUGUUACUGCGAUCCAUAUCCUAUCAAUCAAUAUGUUCUUCACUCCCAUCUUUAUGGAUUCUUUUCAACUCCCUUUUUAUUUCUUUUUUUCCCCAUUAAUUUCAACCCUAAAACAGGGAUCUGAAACAGUACAAUCGUCCAAUGUACCAGAGAAACGUCGGCUCUAGGUUACAAGGCUUCAACCUCAGUCACAAACAAACAAUCUAAUAGCAAAGAGGAGAAUGGUAUGAGCAAAAGAAGGCUCGAGAAACUGAGUCCCGACCCCGAAUUGAACACCAGCAGUCGGCAUUCCGGUGGGCCGCGACUUCACGAUGGGGCGUCCACAAUCAGCGCAAGAUCCGUCGACAGUUCACCAUCAUGCUUGAUCACCUUCAGAGGAGCCCCGCGGCCGCAAAAUGCCGGGAUCUGAAGACCCGACUCCAAACCCUAACCGCUUCCAGAUCAUCCGUAGCGCCGUCGUCACACAGGUCCGAGAAAUCCGCGCACUCCGCCUUCGUCGUUCCGUUGGAGAGAACAGACCACACCUGAAAGGAGAGCAACCAGAAGAACCGCCAUCCCCUUUGAUGGUCCCAUCGUCGGCAGUCUCUCUUCACCAGAUCCGACACAAUAGCUCUAGAUCCCGAUGAUCAACUUGUGGUACCGGCUUCUACUCCGUCGUCCUCAAAACAGAGCGUGUCAGCCAGAAGAUCCGACAAACCACCAGGACCGUUGAGCUAACGUUGAGGCCCGCCGCUACAGAGACCUACCCGUAUCUCGGAAAAGAAGGAGGAGUGCCUCCAAAUAACGCCAAAACGAAACUGUUCCGACAACGUAGAACGAGAUCCGAAAGAGAAAGAGGGGUGGGAGACCGCCGACGAACCGACAAAGUCGCCGGAAAGCUGAAACUAUGACAAUGAGAUCCACCGGAAAGUCUCCAGUCGUCCUGUAUUUUAAAGCCAUCUCAGCCGAAUCAGAACUACUGCCUUCCAGUUCGUCUUGUGACCUAUGUUGUUCUCCCAUACCAAAAUAUCAUCAUCCACCAGCGUAUUGCCUUCCGCUCUGUCACUGUCUAUUUAACUCUGUAGGAUGAUGCCGGGCAACAUUCAGUUGAUUUUUUAAAGAGAAUUUAUGUUCUUUGACACAUGCACAUGUUGAGUUUAAUGAGUUUGGUGGAAGCUCAAUGUUAGCAAAGAUGAUUUCUACUUGACACCAGCAAAUUAUAUUAAAGAACUUGAGGAAACUAUGCUUCAGAUUAACAUAGAUGGAUUCAAGUUACUUCUCUUUAUAUUCAUUUUCUGGGUAAAAUCUGGUUUGAGUUAUUGAAAAGUCUUUAUACUAACGAGAACUAUGCAGUGUCAGAUUAUUUAUGUUGUGGUGAGGUUACGAAGGGAAUCUCUAAGAGUAUCUGUUCUGAGGAAGAAUCAUGUUCCUAUAAAAGGGCCGUAUUAUCUGUUGUAGAGAAGACUCUGGACAUGAUAUAUCAGAAGAGUUCAUCCCUUAGCAAGGUAGUUUAGUUACCAUGUUCAUAUCUAUUUAUUUACACAAUUAUUGUUUCUGUUUGAAGAUCAGGUCGCACGUGUUUGCAACAGCGUAGUUAUAAUAUAUACCAUCAUUGAUUCCAUUGCUUGGCUUGCAAAGUUAAAGCGCUUAUCAGUUUUAUCUUGAACCACCAACUUUUAUUGGAAACACGUACGCUUGAGAGGCUUUUCCAAAGGAAUUAGUUAGGUGUCUGUAGUGAAGCUUUCGCUACAAGUUGUAGCCUACAAUUAGGCCUGGAGCGGCUCCAACGGCUCCUGAUAUGCGAGUUAGACUAUCUCAGAUAGAGCCUGACUUCCUAACCAGAGAUUAAUGAAGGGUCAAACUAAUAAGGAUAAUUCUAAGGGUUCACGAUGUUUUUUUUUACUUUUUUAAAGUUUAACUUUUAAAGCGAUAUGUAUUCAUUUCUUAUGAUUAGAUAUUUGAGCUUAUAAGGUCUGUCAUACACUCUGAUGCCAAAUUUCAAAUAUCAUCUGGUUUAUGAAAAUUAAGCUCACCAGUUUU